rnacentral:rRNA from 1 species
UACGUAGGGUGCAAGCGUUGUCCGGAAUUAUUGGGCGUAAAGAGCUCGUAGGCGGUUUGUCGCGUCGAAUGUGAAAACCCGGGGCUCAACCCCGGGCCUGCAGUCGAUACGGGCAGACUAGAGUUCGGUAGGGGAGUCUGGAAUUCCUGGUGUAGCGGUGAAAUGCGCAGAUAUCAGGAGGAACACCGGUGGCGAAGGCGGAACUCUGGGCCGAUACUGACGCUGAGGAGCGAAAGCGUGGGGAGCAAACAGG